rnacentral:rRNA from 1 species
AGUGAACGCUGGCGGUAGGCCUAACACAUGCAAGUCGAACGGCAGCACAGUAAGAGCUUGCUCUUACGGGUGGCGAGUGGCGGACGGGUGAGGAAUACAUCGGAAUCUACUUUUUCGUGGGGGAUAACGUAGGGAAACUUACGCUAAUACCGCAUACGACCUACGGGUGAAAGCAGGGGAUCUUCGGACCUUGCGCGAUUGAAUGAGCCGAUGUCGGAUUAGCUAGUUGGCGGGGUAAAGGCCCACCAAGGCGACGAUCCGUAGCUGGUCUGAGAGGAUGAUAAGCCACACUGGAACUGAGACGCGGUCCAGACUCCUACGGGAGGCAGCAGUGGGGAAUAUUGGACAAUGGGCGCAAGCCUGAUCCAGCCAUACCGCGUGGGUGAAGAAGGCCUUCGGGUUGUAAAGCCCUUUUGUUGGGAAAGAAAAGCAGCAGGUUAAUACCCCGCUGUUCUGACGGUACCCAAAGAAUAAGCACCGGCUAACUUCGUG